CUCGGUGACCAAAGCGGAGUGGAACUACUCUUUUCCAUUUCGAACAGGACCGUAAAACGCUCCAGCGGGGACAAUACUUGUUGGGCAACUGACCGGGAAAAUACCUCGUUGCCGGGG
rnacentral:rRNA from 1 species